GGCGGGGAAUGUGAGCGCGGAAGUCCCCGCCCCCGGGCUGCUGGGUGGUGGCGACGGCGGCGGCCCGCAAGGAUUUGAAACCGUUUCGCGGUGGCGGCGGCGGGGGUGGCGGCGCGGCGGCCGACCGGAAAGCUUGCAUACUGAAUUAUGGAAAUGGGAAGUGAAGAAGAAAAGUGGGAGAAGCUGGAUGCAGAAUUUGAUCACUUUGUGGUAGAUAUGAAGCCCUUUGUUCUAAAAUUACCUCAUAGGUCAGAACGACAGAGGUGUGCGCUUUGGAUCAGAAAGCUGUGUGAGCCUUCAGGAACAGGUGCAGGACUAAUGGGCAGGAAGAAUCGGAACCUGUAUGCCAAACUGUUACUGCAUAUGCUUAAGCGAGGAGCUCUCGAAGGUCCCUUUACACACCGACCGGAACCAGGCACGCUGAAAACCUUACCUUCCUACAUGUCCAUCUAUUUUGAUGAACCAAAUCCAGCACAAGCAAAAGUUUCAAGCCCGGAAGGAUUACCAGACUGGGUAAUGGGUGAGCUGGGAACCAGUGACCACAAAUUAAAUGAAUCGUGGAAGCUUUCUUCUGGAGAAGAUUACUCUUUGGUGCAGUCGCCGACUGAUGUGCACAGUAGGAACCAAUAUACUGCGAAGCUCCAAACAAGAUCACAUUCUGUGAGUCCAACCUCCAGAGAAGAUGGACAAAAUAUUACCCCAAAGAGUUGUGAAGUUCAUCCCCAAAGAUCUGCUCUUUCUUUGGAUGACAGCGACAUCGAAGCUCGCCUUAAUAGUUGGAAUCUUGGGAUAGAAAAUCCUCGGUACCUGAGACAGAAGCCUAUCCCAGUUGCUCUGAUGACCCCCAAAUUUAGCCUGAGAAAAUCCAGCAGCCUCCAUGAUGAUCCUCUACUCUUCCGAAUGCACGAGAAAGAGUUGGACAUAAAAACAAAAAUGAUAGAAGCCAAAUGCCACGAGGAGAAGCUGAAACUGCAGCAGAAACAUGAUGCCGAUGUUCAGAAGAUUUUAGAAAGAAAGAAUAAUGAAAUAGAAGAAUUGAAAAUUUUAUACAAAAAGAAACAAAAUGAAAUGGAGGAGACUGUUAGAAAACUUGAAAAGAAAGUUCAGAUCCUUAUACGUGACUGUCAAGUUAUCAGAGAGACCAAAGAAAACCAGAUUACAGAGCUAAAAAAGAUAUGUGAACAGAGUACCGAAUCUCUGAAUAAUGACUGGGAAAAAAAGCUCCACAAUGCCGUGGCAGAAAUGGAAAAGGAGAAGUUUGAUCUUCAAAAGCGGCACACGGAAAAUAUUCAAGAGUUGCUCGAGGACACAAAUGUACGUCUGAAUAAAAUGGAGGGUGAAUACAUGGCACAGACACAGUCCACGAACCAGAUGGUCAAGGAACUGGAGUCCCGUGUCCAGCAGCUGACUGGAGAAGCAGAGAACAGUAAUUUACAGAGACAGAAAUUAAUUCAAGAAAAAUUGGAACUUGAGAGAAUUUACCAGAUAGCAUGUAAUGAAUUACAAGAAGUAAAGGCAAGGCGCAACUCACUACAUAAAGAGAAAGAUCACCUUGUGAAUGAUUAUGAACAAAACAUGAAACUAUUACAAACCAAAUAUGAUGCUGAUAUAAACCUUCUGAAAAAGGAGCAUGCUGUUUCAGCUUCUAAGGCAUCUGGUAUGAUUAAAGAACUAGAACAGAACAUCUGUCAAUUAAAACAGCAGCUCCAGGAAUCAGAACUUCAAAGAAAGCAACAGCGAAGGGAUCAAGAAAAUAAGUUUCAAAUGGAGAAAAGUCAUUUAAAACACACCUAUGAGAAAAAGACUCAUGACCUGGAGAGUGAACUUGGUAAAGAGAAAGAAGAAGCUCAAAAGAAAAUCCAUAAACUUGAGGAAGCACUGAAGGAGAAAGAGGAGCAGCUGACUCGUGUGACUGAAGUUCAGAGGUCACAGGCCCAGCAGGCGGAUGCUGCCCUGGAAGAGUUUAAGCGGCAGGUGGAACUGAACUCAGAGAAAGUGUACGCUGAAAUGAAAGAGCAGAUGGAAAAAGUAGAAGCAGACCUAACCAGAUCCAAGUCUCUUCGUGAGAAACAGUCAAAGGAGUUUUUAUGGCAGCUGGAGGACGUCAAACAACGAUACGAACAGCAGAUAGUAGAGCUGAAGCUGGAGCAUGAACAGGAGAAGACGCACCUAUUACAGCAGCAUAACGCAGAGAAGGAUAGCCUAGUCCGAGACCAUGAACGGGAAAUUGAAAACCUGGAAAAACAGCUUCGCGCUGCCAAUAUGGAGCACGAAAAUCAAAUUCAAGAGUUCAAGAAACGAGAUUCACAGGCUAUUGCCGACAUGGAAGCCCAAGUUCACAAGUUGAGAGAAGAGCUGAUUCAUGUGAACUCACAGCGGAAACAGCAGCUGGUGGAACUCGGCCUUCUUCGUGAAGAGGAGAAGCAAAAGGCUGCAAGGGACCACGAGACCGCGGUCUAUAAGCUGAAGGCCGAGUCAGAAAAGAUGAAGUUGGAGCUGAAGAGGGCUCAUGCCGCCGAGACAGACGUGGCAUUGGAAAAGGCCAACAGCAGGCUGAAGCAGAUCGAGAAGGAAUACACCCAGAAGCUCGCCAAAUCCUCACAGAUCAUAGCAGAACUUCAGACAACCAUUUCCUCUCUGAAAGAGGAGACCAGCCGGCUGCAGCUUGCUGCAGAAAGGCGGCUCCAGGACGUUACACAGAAGUUUGAAGAUGAGAAGCAGCAGCUGAUUAGAGAUAAUGACCGAGCAAUCAAGGCUUUGCAAGACGAACUAGAAAACCGCUCUAACCAAGUGCGAUGUGCAGAGAAGAAACUACAACACAAGGAACUGGAGUCACAGGAACAGAUAACUUAUAUACGGCAAGAAUAUGAAACGAAAUUCAAAGGAUUGAUGCCAGCAUCUCUAAGGCAAGAGCUUGAAGACACCAUUUCCUCCCUCAAGUCACAGGUUAACUUUCUGCAAAAGCGAGCGUCCAUCCUUCAGGAAGAACUGACGACCUACCAAGGCAGAAGGUAACUGCACGGAGGCUUACCUGAGUAGCACAGGCAAAGGUGGCAGACGCACCCGGGCUUAUACUGUGGACUUCUUCCAGCAGAUCUUACCGAACACUGCAGUUGAUGGAUUGAUCCGACCUGGUGAUCGGCUUGUGUGUCGGAAACAUCAGAAGCGUUGGUUUGCCCGGAGUUCAGCUCUGUUCAGCACGCAGAGCCUGACACAGUAAGGGGGGAAAGGAAACUAGAAAAGACAUCGUCUCCCCAGGAAGAGGAAGUCUUUUCCUAACAGGGCGGUAGAGAGUCCCGAACGUCUUGCGCUUCUUGCGGAAAUACCUUGACAUCGACAAAGAUGUCUCAGAAGCGAGUCUGCAUUCCCCGGUUUGGCUUCACGCACGUUGACUGAAGCUGUCACUUACCUGACAUCAGCCCUGAUGUCGCUCUUCAAGUUCCCUGCAAAGUCAGGUUGCAGUCCAGCGUCCCGCGAACGUCUCGUGUUUCCCAGCUACUGCAGUGUCACAAUCCUGUGUGCAAUCCUUGUCAGAACUGAUAAUGUGGCCCAUCACAUACCAUUGUGUUUGCAAUAAAAAUAUUUAUCCAAGCCGGGUGCGGUGGUUACCGCGUGAAGCCUGGGCCACGACUGCCGCUUCAUGUCACCACCUGCUCCUUCCCAGAGUUAAGGAUCUGGUCGCUGCUUUCUGCCUAGAGUGGUAUUUCUGACGAUGUUAGGGAACCUUUGUCUGACUGAGUUCCCACUUGUGUUAUCUGAUUGUCUUCUUCGGUAUUUUUAUUGAUGCAUUUGGGCAGGUGAGUUUGGAAGCUGCUGGAAUGCAAAUUGGGUUGAUGGAAGGAAUUUUUUUUUUCUUUCAAAAUCAUUUCUGUGAUAUUAUUUGGGGUGUGUGUGUGUGUGUGUGUGUGUGUGUGUGGUUUUUUUUUUUUUUUUCUAAUCGGCUAAUUAAGACAGCAAACCCAAGUAGACCACCUACUGCUGGCCCCUGCUAUCAGGUGCUUUCCCUCUGACCAUCUAAUGGUCACCGUCUCUGCCUUUUUAUUGGUAAAGGAGAAAGAUUAAUUGGCCUCAUCUCUGUCUCGCAUUGUAAUUAUUGUUCUCUCCGUGACAUCACCUCUAAUGUACGAGGAACAUUUUUACUUCACGCAAGCUCUACAUCGAGCUCAGCCCUUCAAAACUUGAACGUUUUGGCUCCCAAAUUAAGUACCCUGCAGACCUUUGCUGAGUGCCUCGUCUGUUCCAGAUGAGACACACAAAGAUAAGUAAGAUCUGCUCCCUGCCUGCAAAGGGCUUGUAACCCAUGUGGGAAGAUAAGACAUCUAGAGGAAGGAAAAAAACAACAACAACAACGAUAAGACAGAGCAUGAUCUUUGUAUAAGAGAAAUGCCAAGUAUUCUGGGAAUUUGAAGGAAGUAGUAACAUUUUGAAAUCGCCCCUCAGGAGGAGGUGACAUUUUAGUCUGGACGUUGGGAUAAGAGUAAGAUUUCAGUCGAUGGCAAUGUGGGCCGGGCGUUCUAGAUGGAAUCCUAGCCAAGAAAGUCCUUCACAGGCUCUACAAUCACAUGCUGGGAGAAGAGUAGCGUGAGAGAUUUAAAAGGUGUGUUGGGGGCGCCUGGGUGGCUCAGUCGGUUGAGCGUCCGACUUCGGCUCAGGUCACGAUCUCGUGGUUCGUGGGUUCAGGCCCCACGUCCGGCUCUGUGCUGACAGCCCAGCUUCGGAUUCUCUGUCUCAUUCUCUCCCUGCCUGCCUCCCUCUCUCUCUCUCCCUCAAAUAAAUAAGCAUUAACAAAUAAAUAGCCAAAUAAAAGGAGUUGGAGGCAGAUUGUGGCAGCCAGACGGAAGUCCGUGACCACCGUCAGUGCUGAGCAGGCCUCCCAGCGCAUGUGGUGAAGGGCCUCGGAGUCCGAGGGGUCUGGAGCCGGGCAAGUUGCUGAGUCUCUUGAAUCUCUGUUUCCUCUUCUCAGAAGGUGGAGGAAAUGGUAGAAACAUGAUUGUGAAGAUUAACUGUGAUAAGUGCAUUUUAAAAGUCAUGCAACAAACCUUCAAUAAAUGAAGGCUAAGUUUGUAUUUUCUGCCAAUCCUCAAUAAUUUCAUGAGCUAAGUAUGAUUUAUGCUGGAGGAUACGGAGGCAAAGAGAAGCUUGGGAAUUUGCCCGCAGCCUCACUUCUAAUAAGUGAAGGGAGCAGAAGUUGGAACCCCUGUCCCUGUGAUUCACUCCUCCUGUAUGGCAUUGCCUACACGGAUGAGGAGAGGUCCGGACUUUAUGUUCUAGAAAAACAGGGAGCAAUUAGAGUUUUGAGCAAGGGAGUGACACCAGGAGAAACUGCUUCAGGAACACGUGUCCGGACGGCAUGAGGUGGGGUAGUCUGAGGGUGGAGGCAGAGAAGAGGACAGGACGUGCGUGCGGGAGUCCCGUAAGUGCCACCACAUCCCCAGGGAGAGGAGCAUCUCUCUGUGAACAGAAAGUAGGUCAAAGAUUCAAGAGCUACCGUGGCACCUGAAUGAAUAAGAUGAUUGUAAAGGAGAAAGAAACAAAUGUAGGACCAAGGUUUCCAGCCUCAAGAGAUGCGGGGCCCCAGCUUUGGGAGUGGGGGUGACGAGUCUGGGCGUAGACAUGCUGCACUUCAUCAGGUAGCUGGAAGCCUGGGUCAGGACCCAGGGAUUAGUCAGUCAGGAACGUGUGGGUGAGAGUUGGUGCUGAGAGAGUUGAUCGGGUCACCAAGAAGGGGAGAGGUUUGGGGGAAUCCGAAGAGGAGACGGAGGGGGACAGGCGGGGACCAGAAGGGGGCGCACAGUUGCACUGACAGCUGAAGAGUUGAAAAGUAGAGAUAAGGAGAGGGCUGGCGGCAGGGUGAGGCACAGGGUGCUUAGUCCAGGGCUGAGAAGAUCCGAGGUUUGCCCCUGAGGACAGAGGCGGGAGGCGUGUGGAUUAGAGGAGCCCUGUAAAUUCCCUGGAGGUCCAAACUGGACGGCGCGGUGCCUCUCAGACAUCCACAACCCUGAGAUAAGAGGGGGAGAGCCGGGUUCGGAGUUCUGAGGGCUCCUUGGGGAUCGGAGGCUGGGUUUCCUCCUUCGAUCCCAGAUGGCAGCUGGCAGUUGGCAAAGGUUCCCCCGAACACCAACCCCGCAAAUGCCCUGGAGUUGGCAUAGGCCCGGCCAUGCGGAUGGGUGUCGGGGAUGGUCUACGGAAGUUUAGGGACAUUGUUUUGGAAAGUUCAGCUCUUCUGUCCUCACACGGUCUUCGCCGAUCUGUCCAUCUUGCAGAGUCACUGAAUGAAGUUAGCCGUUUUUGCAAACCGGCCCUUGGGAUAAACCAUGACAAUAAAAUUGAUGACGUUUACUGUA